rnacentral:lncRNA from 1 species
AUGGCGGCCGCCUGCGGCGCGCAGGGUUCUGGGAGUUGUAGUCCGUGCGGCGGCGGCCCGGCUGGCUCGCCGCAGAGGCGGCGCUACGACGGAGCGGCUCUUGCGGGAGCUGAGCGCGCGCGCAACUCCAUCCCAGGACCUGGAGAGUGUGGAGGGGCUACAGUUCUCCAUCCUGGACUCUGCCUGGGGCCUGCUUCCCUGAGCACUGGAGAGAAGGUUCUGGUAUCUCUCACCCACCACCAGGAUGGGAGCAUUGGCGAGGAGGAAGAUGAGAAGAGCCUGAGGUCCCAAAGAGACCCAUCCCAGGUGAGCCCAGGGCCCCUGGUUCCAAGCUCCUGUAUUCCCGGAGCAUCACAAGCACCACUCCUGUGACAGGCUCAAGGACAUUCCAUCCAACCACUGUGCAAGGCUGUUUCUACACACCUAGGAGGCCUGAGCUCCAGAUCUCUCACCCAUCCCACAAAUCCCAAAACACAGUACAGAAUGUGGAUGCCUCUAGAGGCUGAGAAAAGGCCAGGAAACAGAAUCUUCCCUGGAGCUUCCAGAAUGAAGGAGCCCUGGCCGACACUAUGACUUUAGCCCAGUGACCACAGGACUCCUGGCCUCCAGAGCUGUGAGAGAGAAAUUUGUGUUGUUUUCAGCCUCUAAGCUUGUCAUAAUUUGCCACAGCAGUCACAGGAAACUAACACACACUCCAUACACCAAAGAAGCAAGAAUAGAGUCAUUAAACAGGGUUGCAGCUGGACUUUUGUGGGCCCCAAGUAUUUCUGCCCUGUAAACAUAAUACCAAAAAUUGUAUUCAUGUGGGGCCGGCACCAUGGCUGAGUGGUUAAUUUCACGCGCUCCACUUCGGCGGCCCAGGGUUUCCCCAGUUUGGAUCCUGGGUGUGGACCUAGCACUGCUCAUCAGGACAUGCUGAGGCAGCAUGCCACAUAGCAGAGCCAGAAGGACCUACAACUAGAAUAUGCAACUAUGUACUGGGGGGCUUUGGGGAGAAGAAGAAGAAGAAAGAAAAAAAAAAGAUUGGCAACAGAUGUUAGCUCAGGUGCCAAUCUUUUAAAAAAAAUUAUGUUCAUGAGCCUCCACAAAGUAAUAUUAAAAGUCAUUUUUUAUUACCACGUCAGUAUAAAGAUGAAUAUAUUCCAGGCUGGAAUAGUCACUAUGUUCAUUUUUUUCCAUCUUAUUUUAAAAGAAAUUAAAACAUUAUCAUGAGAAACCCCCUCCUCCAAAAAAAGUUUCACGGGCCCUGGGCACUAUGUUUCCAGCGCUUGUUGGAGAAGGCAGCCCUGGGUGGACCACAGGCGCCUGACGCACAGCCAGCCAUGUGGAUGGGAGCCUCCUCUCCGUCCUGGACUCUCCCCCUACGGAACCACAGACAUGCUCGCACACCAUCUCCACGUGCUGCAGGGUGGGCCUGGGUGCAAGGAUGCUUUCUUUUCCUCUCUUUUUUUUUUUUUACCUGUAUCUGCGAGAUCGUAUUUUUAAUUUUUUAAAUUUUUUCAUUUUUAUUGAGAUAUAAUUGACAUACAACAUUAUAGUAGUUUCAGGUGUACAACAUAAUGAUUUGAUGUUUGUACAUAUUGUAAAAUGAUCACCACACUAAGUGUAGUUAACAGCAGUCACCACACAUAGUUACAAACUUUUUCUUCUUGUUCUGAGAACUUUUAAGAUCUAUUCUCUCAGCAACUUUCAAAUAUACUGUGGGGGCCUGGAAUUGGCCACCCCAAGAUAUGUCUCUUUGGCAUGAGGAUUAUUUGGGGCUGGUUGUUUUUAAUAAACUGCAGAUGGGAAGGAGGUUCUGAGGAGUG